GGCAGGGAGAGGAAAACACGCGCGCGCACACACGGUGAUAUCUUGCGGGUGAUGAAUAUGAUAAUUGGACAAGGGACGAGAGAACCAUUCUCUGCUUUCAAUAGGACAGAAGAGCUCCUUGGCACUGGAUGCCUCCGGGUCUGGUUGAGAGAGGAAUGGUUAGGAGAUUGUUCUGAGGAUAUGCAGACAUCAUCCAAAGCUUCCUACAUUCAGAUGAGGACAGAGGUUGGGCUAGAGCUUUGUAUGCUUGUUACCUAAGUAUGGUUCUGACCAUGUAAGCAGAUCACAGAAGAGCCAGCCUUGACAAUGUGCUGAUGGCAACCU
rnacentral:antisense_RNA from 1 species